ACCCAACAAUUUGUUCAAACCUCUCACACAUUCUCCUUCACCACCAAACCUCACCCAACUUCACCUCACCGCAGACCACCGCCACCGGCGCAGAUCGCCACAGCCACAGAUCGCCACUGUCGUCGAUGAUCUUCCUCCGUCCUCCGCUGGUGCCUCUCUCUCUCUCUCUCUCUCUCUCUCUCUCCUAAACACCCACUGCCAUCGAUGAUCCUCCUCCUUCUCCUCCGCUGGUGCCUCCGCCGGAUCCGAGAAGAUCGUCGAGAUCUGAAUUAGAUUUGAGUCCCAGGCCAAGGUCUGACCGUCGUGAGCGAUCCACACAUAUCUAUCGGCGGCAGUGAAGACGGAGAGACCAUGCCUAACGGUUGAGAUCUGAAUCAGAAUUCGAUUUCGCGAUCUAAAAAUCUCUUAAGCACUCAGAUGUCUGUGAUUUCUGCUCCAAUCAACACCUAUUUUUAAGAUCUGAGUCAGAUUCGAUGGCGGUGAAGAAUGCUGGGAUUCGCUGAUAAAACCACGAUUUCGACAAAGAAGAACAAGUGUUCAAUCAAUCAUCAGCGGGAAAAAAGGGGCUUCAUUUGAGUUGGGUUUAUCAGAUCAUCAUCAUCAUCAUUAUCAUCUUCAUCUUCUGCAUCUAAAAAGAGAGAAAAAUCAAGUAUGUGUUGGUGACAGGCGGCGUAGUUAGCGGUCUUGGGAAAGAUCCUUACUUGAACAUUGAUGCGGGAACAAUGUCCCCUUUUGAGCAUAGGCAAGUGUUU